AAAUUGAAGAGUUUGAUCAUGGCUCAGAUUGAACGCUGGCGGCAGGCCUAACACAUGCAAGUCGAACGGUAACAGGAAGCAGCUUGCUGCUUUGCUGACGAGUGGCGGACGGGUGAGUAAUGUCUGGGAAACUGCCUGAUGGAGGGGGAUAACUACUGGAAACGGUGGCUAAUACCGCAUAACGUCGCAAGACCAAAGAGGGGGACCUUCGGGCCUCUUGCCAUCAGAUGUGCCCAGAUGGGAUUAGCUUGUUGGUGAGGUAACGGCUCACCAAGGCGACGAUCCCUAGCUGGUCUGAGAGGAUGACCAGCCACACUGGAACUGAGACACGGUCCAGACUCCUACGGGAGGCAGCAGUGGGGAAUAUUGCACAAUGGGCGCAAGCCUGAUGCAGCCAUGCCGCGUGUAUGAAGAAGGCCUUCGGGUUGUAAAGUACUUUCAGCGGGGAGGAAGGUGUUGUGGUUAAUAACCGCAGCAAUUGACGUUACCCGCAGAAGAAGCACCGGCUAACUCCGUGCCAGCAGCCGCGGUAAUACGGAGGGUGCAAGCGUUAAUCGGAAUUACUGGGCGUAAAGCGCACGCAGGCGGUCUGUCAAGUCGGAUGUGAAAUCCCCGGGCUCAACCUGGGAACUGCAUUCGAAACUGGCAGGCUUGAGUCUUGUAGAGGGGGGUAGAAUUCC
rnacentral:rRNA from 1 species